GAGAAAAAAAAUUACAAAAAAGGGAAAAUUAAAGAAAAUUUUGGACCAAAAUCGAUGACUUUCACAUAGAUUCUCCAAGCUCCCAGAGCUCUAGGGUUUCAAUUUUACAAGUGGUUGGGCAUUUGUGAUAUUUUUCCUAGAAGGAAGUGAAUAAUGCCGGGAAAACCUGAAAAUGACGAUCAUCGGUUAGAUCAGAGUGCACACAAUGUGUUGCAAUCGGCAAUCUACUCUCAACCUUGGUGGCGGGGUCCUACAUUUGGUGAAGGCGCAUCAAAAUCAUCUUCAGCAGAGCACCUGAAUGGUUCUCUUGCUGAUGGAG
rnacentral:misc_RNA from 1 species